rnacentral:lncRNA from 1 species
AAUUUUGUUAUGGAUUUGAUGUGGUCUCCCAUGCUUUUAUAUUUUUUUUAAUAAAUUUUUCAUGUAAUGGUUGUGAUGUCUAGCAUGAGUCUAUUUAGAAGUGGGGAGUUGAGAUUGUAAGGAUGACAAUUGAGAAUGCCAGGUUAGUUGAGGUUGUUGGUUAGGAGGUUGAAGUUAUUGAUUUAGAUGGCUAACAAAAUUGUUUUCAUUGAGUUGUAUGUUGAGCAAGCUAUGGAGAAAAUUUUCUAUUGUGACCAAUCCCUUCC